rnacentral:rRNA from 1 species
UUCCCCUUCGGGGGACAAAGUGACAGGUGGUGCAUGGUUGUCGUCAGCUCGUGUCGUGAGAUGUUGGGUUAAGUCCCGCAACGAGCGCAACCCUUAAGCUUAGUUGCCAUCAUUAAGUUGGGCACUCUAAGUUGACUGCCGGUGACAAACCGGAGGAAGGUGGGGAUGACGUCAAAUCAUCAUGCCCCUUAUGAUUUGGGCUACACACGUGCUACAAUGGACAAUACAAAGGGCAGCGAAACCGUGAGGUCAAGCAAAUCCCAUAAAGUUGUUCUCAGUUCGGAUUGUAGUCUGCAACUCGACUACAUGAAGCUGGAAUCGCUAGUAAUCGUAGAUCAGCAUGCUACGGUGAAUACGUUCCCGGGUCUUGUACACACCGCCCGUCACACCACGAGAGUUUGUAACACCCGAAGCCGGUAGAGUAACCUUUUAGGAGCUAGCCGUCGAAGGUGGGACAAAUGAUUGGGGUGAAGUCGUAACAAGGUAGCCGUAUCGGAAGGUGCGGCUGGAUCACCUCCUUU